UACGUAGGGGGCCAGCGUUGUUCGGAAUUACUGGGUGUAAAGGGUUCGUAGGCGGUGUGGCAAGUUGGGAGUGAAAUCUCUGGGCUCAACCCAGAGACGGCUUCCAAAACUGCCGUGCUUGAGUGUGGGAGAGGCGCGUGGAAUUGCAGGUGUAGCGGUGAAAUGCGUAGAUAUCUGCAGGAACACCCGUGGCGAAAGCGGCGCGCUGGACCACUACUGACGCUGAAGAACGAAAGCUAGGGGGGAGCAAACAGG
rnacentral:rRNA from 1 species